rnacentral:sRNA from 1 species
GGGUUACUCCUUGGCGCUUGCGCGCUGUUUUGAUGAAGAUUCGCACCUCUAUCAAAACGGGUAACCCCGCCUCUUGGCAAGGCCUUACUGUCAGAUCAAGUCUGAACUUCUAUACAUCAGCCGAUGAUGGUUGUACCAGGCGACCCAUUCCAGCGUUGCCA